CUAGCAUCUACAGACAGUGGCAUAUUACCUAAACGGUGAAUUGGCCAAAAAUACACAAACUAGAAAAAAAAACAAUUCAACAACUGGCUAUUUUUUUAUUAUCUGGUUUAGCAAAUAACCCCCUCAAUAAUGAAUUUAGUUGUAGGGUCUGCUUGUGAGUUAUGAUUUCGACAGAUACCUGCACAAAAUGUGUUCUAAUUAACAUUUGAUCUGAUAAUAAAAAUAACACUCCCACGUCUACAAGGAAAGUUUUGAAGCUUAUUGAUAUUUAACAUAUUUCAAAAUAAACCUUUUUACUUUAGAGUUUGCCAAAUUCCUUAAUGAAAAAUAAAAAAUGACUGUAAAGAGUUUUAAAGUUCACUUUGGGUAUAUUUUGCACGAUUUCAUUCACGCUCCCCUCCCUAUGGUAUAUGACUAAGAUGGGGAGUGAGCAUUAAAGGAGAUAUUAAAGGAAAAGUUCUCUCACAAAUAGCUGAAUUAAGUUCUACUUUGAUUCCCGGAAUAUUAACAAAGAAAUCACAAUGUAACUAUUUAGUAGCUAUUUAAGAAUUAGCAGUCCACGGCAGGUUUGUGUCAGCUUUUAAAAGCAUUUUACUUUGAAUGAUAU